CAUAAUACCUUCUGGUUAAAGAGGGGGAUCUUCGGACCUCUCGCUUAUGGAUGGUCCCGCGUCUGAUUACCUAGUUGGUAGGGUAAUGGCCUACCAAGGCAAUGAUCAGUACCUGGUCUGAGAGGAUGAUCAGUCACACUGGAACUGAGACACGGUCCGGACUCCUACGGGAUGGGGGAAACGGGAAUUUUGCACUGUGGGCGAAUGCCUGAUGCCCCGACGCCGCGUGCGAUAAUAAGGCCUUCAGGAUGUUAACCGCUUUCAACAAGGAAGAACGAAUGAGAUCUAAUACCUCUCUGCCUUAACGGUACCUGUAGCUAAGCACCGGCUAAUUUCGUGCCAGCAGCCGCGGUAAUACGAAAGGUGCAAGCGUUGUUCGGAUUUACUGGGCGUAAAGAGAUCGUAGGUGGCUUGUUAAGUCGGAUGUGAAAUCCCGGGGCUCAACCCCGGAACUGCAUCCGAUACUGGCACGCUUGAGUUUGGGAGGGGUAAGCGGAAUUCCGUGUGUAACAGUGAAAUGCGUGAUAUACGGAGGAACACCUGAGGCGAAAGCGGCUUACUGGACCACUACUGACACUGACGAUCGAAAGCGUGUGUAGCAAACAGGAUUACAUACCCUGCUAGUCCACGCCCUAAACGAUGUCCACUACCCGUUGGGGGGUAUCGACCCCUGCAGUGG
rnacentral:rRNA from 1 species